rnacentral:rRNA from 1 species
AGUCGAACGCAGUAGCAAUACUGAGUGGCAAACGGGUGAGUAUAAUGUGGGAAUCUGCCUUUUGGUUCGGAAUAACACGAGGAAACUUGUGCUAAUACCGGAUAAGCCCUAACGGGGAAAGUUUUAAUGCCAAAAGAUGAGCCCGCACUUGAUUAGCUAGUUGGUAAGGUAAAGGCUUACCAAGGCAACGAUCAAUAGCUGAUUUGAGAGGAUGAUCAGCCACACUGGAACUGAGACACGGUCCAGACUCC